GAUGAACGCUGGCGGCGUGCCUAAUACAUGCAAGUCGAGCGAACGGACGAGAAGCUUGCUUCUCUGAUGUUAGCGGCGGGCGGGUGAGUAACACGUGGAUAACCUACCUAUAAGACUGGGAUAACUUCGGGAAACCGGAGCUAAUACCGGAUGAUAUUUUGAACCGCAUGGUUCAAAAGUGAAAGACGGUCUUGCUGUCACUUAUAGAUGGAUCCGCGCUGCAUUAGCUAGUUGGUAAGGUAACGGCUUACCAAGGCAACGAUGCAUAGCCGACCUGAGAGGGUGAUCGGCCACACUGGAACUGAGACACGGUCCAGACUCCUACGGGAGGCAGCAGUAGGGAAUCUUCCGCAAUGGGCGAAAGCCUGACGGAGCAACGCCGCGUGAGUGAUGAAGGUCUUCGGAUCGUAAAACUCUGUUAUUAGGGAAGAACAUAUGUGUAAGUAACUGUGCACAUCUUGACGGUACCUAAUCAGAAAGCCACGGAUAACUACGUG
rnacentral:rRNA from 1 species